rnacentral:lncRNA from 1 species
GAUCCCCUUCCACAGUGUGGAAGGUUUGUUCUUUUGCUCUUUGCAAUAAAUCUUGCUACUGCUCACUGUUUGGGUCCAUGCUGCUUUUAUGAGCUGUAACACUCACUGCGAAGGUCUGCAGCUUCACUCCUCAGCCAGCGAGACCACGAACCCACCAGAAGGAAGAAACUCCAAACACAUCUGAACAUCAGAAGGGACAGACUCCAGAUGCGCCGCCUUAAGAGCUGUAACACUCACCGCGAGGCUCCGCGGCUUCAUUCUUGAAGUCAGUGAGACCAAGAACCCACCAAUUCCGGACACAAUGUGGGCAUGUUAAUAAAUUUUGUGUGUCUCUUCUCCUAUUAAUCUGCCUUUUGUCAGUUCAUUUUCAGUGAACCUUCAGAGAAUGAUGGGCAGGUUUUCCCUUGGCCCCCACAGUUUUGGCACUGUGAGCAGGAUACCAAAACCACUCUGUUCUUCUGGAAGCCACAGCCCAGGGAACCUAGGAUCUGAGAAGUUCACAAAAGGACACACUUCCUGCCACUGCUGAGAACUGACUGACUUAGCUUGUGUUGAAGUCUGAAUGGAAGCCAUUUAUGGAUAUGCAAAGAGGAAUGGAUAAUUGAUGAAGCAUGGUAACAAAGAUUAUUUUCAUCUGAGUACAAAGAUAAAGAUGGAGUUGUACUCUGUUGCCCAGGCUGGAGUGCAGUGGCGUGAUCUCAGCUCACUGCAACCUCCGCCUCCCAGGUUCAAGCAAUUCUUCUGCCUCAGCUUCCCAAGUAGCUGGGACUACACCGGGCUAAUUUUUGUAGUUUUUUAGUAGAGAUGGGGUUUCACUAUGUUGGCCAGGCUAGUCUCAAACAGCUGACCUCGAGUGAUCCACACUCCUCAGCCUCCCACAGUGCUGAUAUUACAGGCUUGAGCCACCGUACCUGGCCAAAAGACACUUUUAAGAGAGAGAAAAGACUAUCCACAAAUAGGAAGGAUAUAUUCGCAAUGUAUAUAUCUAAUAAAUUCUUGUAUCCAAAACGUGAAUUAUUCUCAAAACACAAUAAUAAGAAAAUCAGCAACACGAUAAAAAUGGGCUAAGUAUUUGAACAAACACUUUCUCAGAAAGAUAUGCAGAUAGCAAAUAAGCACAUGACAAUGCCAAAAUGCAGUAGUCAAGCACAUACCUAUUAGAAUGUCUAAAAGUUGAGAAAACAUAAUUUUUCUAUACUGCUGUUGGGAAUUUAAAAUACUACAAUCACUUUGUAUAACAGUUUCACAGUUAUUGAAAAAAUUAAACAUACACCUAUCAUCAAAUCUAGCAAUUCUACUCCAAUAUUUGCCCAAAAGUAAUGAAAGCAUACAUACUUACAAAAUUCUGUACAUAAAUGUUCUUUGCAACUUUAUUUGUAAUACCCAUAAACUGAAAAUAAUUUAAAUGUCCAUAUGCUGAUGAAUGAAUAAAGAAAUGUGAUUCAUCCUUCCUAUGGAAUACUACUCAGCAAUAAGGUGCAGUAAGACAUAUUAAUACAGACAGUAUUGAUCCAUCUCAAAAUCAUUAUGCCAAGUAUGAGAACUCAAACACAAAAGACAUGUACUAUAAAAUUUCAAUUAUGUGCAAUUCUGUAAAAGGCAAAACUGUAGAGACAGAAAGCAGAUCAGCAGUUGCCUAGUGAAUGGGCAUAGAAUGGAGAAGGAGCUGGUGGCAGGAGUGUGGAGGGGAGAAUUAUACAGGCUUAAGGAAAUUUGGGGGGAUGAUGAUUAUGUUCAUUUUCUUGAUUGUGGGGAUGACUUCAUGGGUGUAUAGAUGUGUUGAAACAUCUAAUUGUACACUUUCAAAAUGUGUAGUUUGCCAAAUGUUAACAUCUUAAUAAAGCUGAGAAAAUAAAAUAACAAGAAAAAUGACACAGGAACUCACAAAAACCAGCUUCCAGUGGCCAGAUAUCGAACAAUCUGAUCAUUGGAAAGAAUA